rnacentral:rRNA from 1 species
AUGUGGGUAUGGAGUUUCUUCUCGACGCCGUCGACAGGAACGAACUGUAGCGACCCGAAGACUCAAAUGCUGGGUCUGCAUGCGGUCAGCGGCUCGGGGAAGAGGGACCUGAGAAAGCACGAGACAGAGUCUGCCGGCGUCGGAAAUCAUCACCGACUAGGUCGGCGCAGUCCACAUACAGAGUCAACCCCCAGGCCCCAGGAUGGACGAAAAGCUGAGGUAGUGGACAUAGCCGAAGAAAUUGAACCACCAUGGUCUCCGUGGACAGGUUGGACUGAACCUGCUGAUGGUUGGGAGACGGAGCUAUCUAGCCUGCUUGGUUGCGCUGGUGCACAUGGUGCCGGACGACUUGCUGCUGAGCACGGGCUAUCUGCUGAGUGCUCAUCCUCCUCAGAUAUGAGCGAUGAAAGUUGA